ACUUUCGGGGAUGGAGGGGAAGCCCAGGUACUCUCUGUGCUUCCUAACUGGCCGUGGAAGGGGAGGUGGAGACGGGAAGCGGCAGUCGGUUUCACUGCAGCGUCUGGGAUUCCUGCCCCGAGUUCUUCCUCAGAAACCGGCGGCGGCUGCGGACAGGGGCGGCUGGGCUGAGGGGCGGGAAGCCGCUGGCCAGCUUCACCCUCUCUCUGGGGCUCCUGCAGGGCAAGGGGAGCGGAUGUGAAGUUGUCCCUGUAGAUAUAAUUAACAGCAUUGUGGACAAGACCACAAGUUCAGAAGGAGCUUACAAAGGAGAAAUUCAUGCUGCAAAUGGUGACACUUAAGCCAAAAGCAAUAAAAUGCAUUCAUCUGGGACACUGUCGCCCUGGGGUUUAUGGCUUCCACAGGACAAUCCAAGUCUGGGCUUCAGACCUCGUCAUUCUGCCACACUGUGACCCCGAGGCAGGGCGCGCCAUAAACAGACCGGGAGGCUGCUCUGUGUGCCCUCGCUGCGGGCUGGCUGCUCUGGGAAGAACACGCAGCCCUCAACAGGGAAAUGCGAUAACUAUUCUGCUUCUUGGAAUGAUUUGCAGAUUCAUGCAUUCAAACAUUCUUCAGAUGCUGACUGGUGGUAUAUGUCACCACGUUCCCGGUGGGAUGCGACCUGGUGGUGGAAAACAGACAGCUCACUUAAACGCCAGUUCGGCCACUUACUAACCGUGUGACCUUGGGAAACUUACUUAACUUCUCUGAGCCGAAGUUUACUCACAGAAGCUGGACCCUUUGUCACGGAGCUGAACACACACACCUGGCCCAGGAGCUGGUGUCGCUGAAGGAGGAUCCAGGAGAAGGUGGGACAGCUGCAGGCCUGGCCCCGGCCCCAAGCCAACAAGGUGGCCCAAUGUUUCGUUGGUUCGAAUCCUGGGCGCGGACACGGCAUGGCUCAUCAAACCACGCUGAGGCAGCGUCCACAUGCCACAACUAGAAGGACCCAC
rnacentral:lncRNA from 1 species